CCUACGGGUGGCAGCAGUGGGGAAUAUUGCACAAUGGGGGAAACGCUGAAGCAGCGACGCCGCGUGAGUGAAGAAGUACCUCGGUACGUAAAGCUCUAUUAGCAGGGAAGAAAAUGAGGGUACUUGACUAAGAAGCCACGGCUAACGACGUGACAGCAGCCGCGUUAAUAGGCAGGGGGCAAGCGUAAUCCGGAUUUGCGGGGUGUAAAGGGAGGUUAGACGGGAGCACAGGUCGGGAGUGAAAUCCCGGGCCUUAACGCCGGAACUGCUAUUGAGACUGUGCGGCUGGAGUGCAGGAGGGGUAGGCGGAAUGACUAGUGUAGCGGUGAAAUGCGUAGAUAUUAGGAAGAACACCGAUGGCGAAGGCAGCUUACUAGUCUGUGACUGACGUUGAGGCUCGAAAGCGUGGGGAGCAAACAGGAUUAGAUACCCUUGUAGUC
rnacentral:rRNA from 1 species